GUUCUGCACAGUCAACGUAUCACACAAUACGUACUCUCUCUGCAAGGACACAGAGUUCCGAAAGUCACACAAGAAAAACAGAUGAUUGCACUUCUGUUGGAGGGUCCGGCCAUAGCAGAGGAGCCUACUGCUCUGACCACAGGCAUGGAGGAGACGGACCUACAGCCAUCACAACCACCGUUACCGUCAAACUCGACCAGCCAAAGACACUGCUUCAAAGACUUUUGACGUGAGGUGGGCAAUGCGUGGUAACCAUACAAUCAUUCCAGCAGUAAUACUACCACCGCCUUCCCUUGCGCGCGUCUUGCCUUAGAGGUGUGUUGGGCCUGGUGAAGACCGAGUCGGGCUGCGUCGGACCAGGGCCCCGGGGGGGGGCUGGUGUCGGGGCAGGUCCUGAUCACAUGACAAGUCUGGUUGUUAUCUAAGGUUGACGUCACCGGGGUGACCCACCCAGAGACACUACAAAUAAUAACCUCAAACGGAUUAGUAUCUACCAAUAUUGUCCUAAUUAUAUUUUAGCAUUACUAUUUGCUUGUUUUGUCUGGUGCUUUUUCUUUGUUGCAUCUGAAUGUAAAUGACCUAAAUAAAAGGACAUCUCGAUGACUAA